UACAGAGGGUGCUAGCGUUGUUCGGAAUUAUUGGGCGUAAAGGGCGCGUAGGCGGCCCUGUGUGUCGGGUGUGAAAGCCCACCUCUUAAAGGUGGAAUUGCAUUCGAAACUACAGGGCUGGAGUGUCGGAGAGGAUGGCGGAAUUCCUGGUGUAGAGGUGAAAUGCGCAGAUAUCAGGAGGAACACCCGUAGCGAAGGCGGCACUCUGGGCCGAUUCUGACACUGAGGAGCGAAAGCGUGGGGAGCGAACAGG
rnacentral:rRNA from 1 species